GAAAAAAGUUGUCUAUAGAAUAAACUUUAGUGAACAUUUUUUAAUGUACAUAACUUAAAAAAAAUCUUAGUACCCUCGUGCAAUGAUCUGAAUCAUGAUCUUAAUAUGGCCCUGAACCUAUAGGAGGGAAUAUUACUAGGUCUACACGUCACCAUCUCUACUUUGGAGUCACCCAAGCGCCCAGUUGUUUUACAAGGUGUUUAUUCUAUUUUUAUGAUUUAUUUUGAUUAUUUUGGACUAUUUUGAAUUUAUUUAACGUAUUAAAAAAUUAUAAAAUUAUUUAAAUGAC